rnacentral:rRNA from 1 species
GUCGUAACAAGGUUCCGUAGGUGAACCUGCGGAAGGAUCAUUAAUGAAUAAACUCGGUGGAUUGUUGCUGGCUCUUAGGAGCAUGUGCACAUCUGCCAUUGUUUCAUUCUUUCUCCACCUGUGCACCUUUUGUAGGCUUGGAUAACUCUCAAGGACUGAAUUACAUUCAUGAUUCACUUCUUGGAUUUGGGGAUUGGUUUCAAGAAAACCUCUCCUUUGCAUUUCCAGUCUAUGUUUUAUAUAUCUACACCCCAUUAGUAUGUGUUUGAAUGUUUAUUAUUUGGCCUUUCUUUUGAUAGGCUUUAAAACUUAUACAACUUUCAACAACGGAUCUCUUGGCUCUCGCAUCGAUGAAGAACGCAGCGAAAUGCGAUAAGUAAUGUGAAUUGCAGAAUUCAGUGAAUCAUCGAAUCUUUGAACGCACCUUGCGCUCCUUGGUAUUCCGAGGAGCAUGCCUGUUUGAGUGUCAUUAAAUUCUCAAUCCCAGAAAGGGUUUAUUCUCAGCUGGGCUUGGAUAUGGGGGUUUUGCCGGCUUUGUAAAGAGUCAGCUCUCCUGAAAAACAUUAGCAAGACUCUUAUUGCAACCUUCUAUUUGGUGUGAUAAUUAUCUACAUCAUAGAUUGUGUGCAUGUCUGGCUUCUAACAGUCCAUUGAUUUGGACAAAAC